CGGAGAGGGCGCCCAGCGGAGGGCGGCUCAACGUGGACGGGACUCCGCGGUGCAUCGUGCGCAGGGCGGCCCGGCGGGGCCCGGCGCGGGCUGCCGGCAUCGCUGCGACUUUAUAUACUUGUGGAGCAGCUGGAUCGACGUAAAGCCUAACAGUGCCUCUUACACAGUCACACUGCUGCACACUGGGUUCACCAACCUUAGAAGGGAAGAAAUUCACGUUUGGAGCUGUAACAGUGUAAUGUGACAACACUCGAACUGUUCUGAUUGGUACACGUGUAAAAUUAUGUUUAAAUAAUAUUAAAAGCAAGGUGCCAGGUUAAUUAGUUGUUUUUCAUAGGGAACGUCGUAACCCUUAGGCUUGCUCUUUUAAUCUGCCAUGUUGUCAACAGACUUCUUGAAGCAAAAUGCAGCUAUAACAGUAAAUUUUCUAUGAAUAUCUGUGUAACGCUAAUGCCAAAUAUGUCGCCUUUUAGAAAUACACAAGUUUAGCUAAUCUACUGUUUGUGCUUGAACUGUGGAAAGCAAGAAGCUUAUUCCAGCUUUAUCCUUUUUUAUCUACCCCUGGUCAGAUUUCAUGUGCUCUGCCACAGGGGCUAAUUGGCACUCAGAUGAGAGACUUGAAUGGGAGUAUUACGCGCACUCAAGGAAGAUGAAAAAGCAGCAUUUGCUGGAAUUAAACAUGUCCUAAUCAGCAUAGCUGCACAGUUAAUGCUCAGGGCUCUCAAAGAACUAGCCCAGGGAUACUUAAAGCAACUGUACAGGGAAGAUUUUAGAAGUUGUCCUGCAGAAUUCCCUAACUGGAGAAAGGGGCUGGGAUGAAGUAGGGAGCUGUGGCUCUUGCUUUCCAGCAUUAGUUUCCAGGAGAAGUAGUGGGCUAACAACAAAAGUCAGCAAGAGAAGUAGUGCUGGUCAGCACCACCCUCCUGAAGGUGGAUGCUUUUAGAUGGAAGGCACUGGUCUGCCUCCCAGCCUGCUUGCUGAUUUCUUGGCCAGCACUGGAAGUUUUAAUUCAGUAUCAUGUGAUGCUUACUGAACCAAGGAAAUGAGAUUGAAUUAAUAGAACUUCGAGCGUAUAAACUAGAAAUGGGCUUACUGACAGGUUUUCAUAAUUCGUCAGUGGUCAGAUGCCAGUGAACAAGACUAUUUCCCAUAGGAUGCCUUCAGACUUACUCUGUUGUUGUAGUGUUUUAAGAUCUAAAAUGGGAAUACAGAGGUGUUUGCGGCCAUGUUUUGAAAUGACAUGAGUUACAUUGAAACAUCACAUUGGAAGUGGGUAAACCUUGUAAGAAGUUGUCCAUGAAGUGAGAAAGCUCUGUCCUUCGAGAUUUUCCAACCUGAUUAGGUGAAGAUCUUGGCACCUUGCUUUUGCUGUGAGGUUAGCCCUGCCUUAAGCAAGGGGUUGGACUGGAUAUCCUUGAAGUCCUUUUCAGUGCCAAUUAUUCUAUGAUUCUGUACUAAAAUGUCCAAAUUAAUGGCAAGAAUUAUCUGAAGAGUUGUGUUAAAUAGUUACAUCCCCAGAGUAGUGUGUUUUAAUGCUGCUGCAAGCAAGUGAUAUGGAAUGCAAUGGAUACUUGCAAGACUGGAGGUUAUUUUGGGGAAGGGUAUUCUGAUGUGACAGUCUCAAUGUUGAGUUCUUGGUGUGAUGUUGCCAAAAGCACUUGAGUGAUCCUUGGUCAUAUAGAAAUGUCACACAGAACUAACACAAUGACCUUCACUCUGCACCUUGUGUUGGUAAAGCAACUUACUGGAGUCUGAGAUCUGAUGUUUGACUUUCAAGGUAGAAAAUCAGCUUUGACGUAUAGUCUAAGGAACUCAGUCAAAGCUGAUCAAAGAAAAGGGUACGAAGAAACUAAAUCACUCUGAAUAGGUCCAUGUAUAUGGAUGAGGCUUAAUGGUGGAGGGAUUUACAGUCUUAAAAUUUAUUGUCUUACAACAUAAGGUGGCCCCAUGGCUGGAAGUUUCAAAAUUCAACCUUGAGUAAGAUACACUACUGCAGCAGUAAGGGUAACAUAGGGACCAAUUACUCACUGUUGCCUGUAAUCUUAACAAAAAUUAGAGGUCUUUUGAAAAGGCUUGCUUUGAUUUAACUUCUCAAGAAAAAUAAAAUGGCCAAGGCAUUCAGGAGGUUAGAUGAGGUAAUGAUUGUGAUCUAUUACUCUUGUGACUUUUAUCACCCUUUAGCUUCCCUCAUGAAUUGGUGCCACAAGGGCCAGAAUAUUAUUUCUCCACAGCAAAGUGCAAUGGAACAUGGAAGAAUAAACAGAGUAGCUCUGAAUGUGCUUGCUGGCUGCCUGAGUAGCACAUCUCCACCUGUCCUAACCUUGGCAUGGGAUCAUUAAUUCACAGGAACUGAGAUGCUGCCACAUAACAGGAAUACUGCAGUAAGUGAAGCUUUUCACUUCAGUGCCAGAGCCACAUUAAACAGAGGUGGAAGCCCUGUUUCUGAUGGUAACAGAGGUUUGUGGCACAAAGCGGUACUAUACACACCAGUAUAGUUAAAUCUGUGCUUGGGUUAUACACAUGUAUUUUAGUCAUGUUCUGGAUGUUAGCCUUUGAAAUAAAUGUCUUGUCAUGACUGAACUCACCUUGGGUACUUACAUUUGGGUUGCUACCUACCUUUCCUUUGAAAUUUCAGUUUGAUGCAGGACUCUUCUUAUCCAGGUUUACAUUAAAAUGUUUGUUGAGCAUCUACUUUAUUUCACUAGAGGCUACAAAAUAGAUUAUUUCUAUUAUAUAAUAUUGUUUUAUUUUAGUUAUACCCUGUUCUGUUAAAGUGUUAUUUCACCACUGGUGAAUAGGUGGCUGCCUAUCCUGUCUGUGGCAGUGGGGUUGGAAUUUGAUGAUCCUUGUGGUCCCUUCCAACCAAAGCCAUUCUCUAUUCUAUGAUCAGCUGUUAUCAGGCAUUUGCAUAUUGCAUGAAACUCCAGGUUAUUUCAGUGAAGAUUUUAGGUACAGUGAGCUUUCAGGGUUAUAAAUCUCACCUUAGGACUGAUUCACAACAUGCAUUCAGGCUUUUCUCUUUUUUAUGCCAACCAGUAGUUUCACUUGUACCUUGCACUUCAGUGCAACUAAAAGUAGAGAUUUCAGUAGUGUUGUGAGUUUUCAAAAGACUGAGGAUGUUUUUCAUCAUUCAGAUUUGCAUUUUGCUUUUAUGGGGAAAAAUAAUCCUUCCUUUUUUAAACCCAUCAGUUAUAUUCAAGCAGUUUCCACGGCAGAACUUGCUGUCUGAGAUAUCUAAUGGUUUAACAGCAGUUUGUUUAUUGGGCAAAGAAUUGCAGCAGUUUCCCAUAAGAAGUAUCACUUAGUGCUUUCUGAGAAUUAAAUGCAUUACUCACAUACACAUUCUAAUGUCAUGUCAGGGAUUACACUUUCUAGAUAACUCAAUUGCUGUUUUCCCAAAUGCUGAGACCAAUCUGAUCCUAAAACAUAUAUUUUUUAUUGUUAUUAUUUUUUGCUUUUGUUUAAGACUCAACUUCAGGUGACUAGAGGGAGAACAGGAUCAAACUUUGAUGAAUGCUUCUGCUUGGACCCCACUGUAAUUCAGGUUUAGGGUCUACUCCUCAGUCUAGUGACUUUCGGCAUACAGCCUGUAGCAGACUGCUUCAGAAGCUAAGAACAAACCUGUUGUGCAAGACCCACCCCUUCCUUUAGUCUUAGUGGCAGUUCAAAAGCAUCUAUAAGUCAGAUUUUAAUCCUUGAUCACAUUUGGAUAUCUUUCAUAGCUAACACUUGAUUCUGGUUCCCUUUGUUACCACGACUUAUUGUAAGGAUUAGGUCUCUACAUGAAGUUUGUCUGUACUGAGGCUCUCCUAGUGUAAACUGCCCUCUACGAGGCCACAGUUAGCUGUCAGUUCAAGCUUUGCCUGCAAGCACUCUACCUGUAAUCUCGGUAUACAUGAAUUAACACAGGUUGUAACUGGUGUUUUCGGUUAUUUGAAUAACUGAACAAAAGCAUUAUCCACCUACCUGCUUUGUCCAGUCUAUUAACGUGGAUUGUGGAUUGAAUUUUUGGAUCACUGUGAUUUGUUUUAGAAGAAUCUGUGAGUGAAAAAAAGAAAAGAGAAGAAAAUACACCUCUCUGUAGGAGCAUGUUUAUUGAUUAUACUCCACUGGGUUUCUCAGUGUUCAUACCAAAAGAAUUCUGCGCAGGAUGAUGAUGGAGAAAGAAUACAUAGUGAUGAAAAAGACAGUCCUGCCUUUAAAGGAUGCUAAAUCAUACAUUUUAAAUGUUAACAUUUUGAAUUGUUCUAGAUUUAUCAGUGGUCAACUGAUAUGAAGUGACUGUGGAGUGGUGCACUGUCAACCACAGUUCUAUAGAGUUGCUGUGACUAAUUAACUUCAGGAUGUGAACAGUGCAACAGUUAAAUGCUGGCUGUCAGCCUUCUGCUCACUGAAGCUGUUCACCCUGUGUUCAUUUUCAGGUGAAAUCGGAGACAUUGUGAGGUGCAUGUGAAAAUGGGUGGGACCUUGAUUACAAGGAUUUAUUGUAAUUAACUGUGAUUUUAGUAUACUCUGUAAGUGCCUUUUUGAGCCCUAAAACUAUGAUUGAAAAACCUUUUUGGAAUCCAGAGUGUAUCCUUGUAAUCCUCCUCUAACUGGGAGGUUAGGAAAAGCAAGGUGUUUGCAAAGCUGAUGUGUUCAGAGAUAUGAGGUAUACGUUAAGCAGUAUCUGAAAUCAUCGAUUACAUUAUGAAACUAUACAGAAAACCAUGUUUGUUUCUCUGAGCAUUAAAAAGCAGAGAUAAACCAGUGAAGAAUAAAAACCUCGCCACCCGGAGAAAGUGUUGUGACUGAGAUGAAACUCAGCAGUAUUUCUGUUUUAGGGCUGCUUUCUAUCAAAAAGAAAAAAGAUUAUUUUAGCUUUCAGAAGGCAGAUUAUGAUUGUAAUGAAGCUUUGCCCUGCUUUUUUUAGUGACAUGAAUGGAAGAGAUGGUGUUUAAGCUCUGCUGUAGACCAGAAUAUCAGAGCUACUUAUGAUUGUUGUUGGGAAUAAUACUUUGUGUUCAGAAGGAGUGAGAGCCAAGGGGAAGAAAGUGUGAUUGAGCUGUCUUGAUCUGAGAAACAGUUUAGUGGUUUUCCCCACAUCUCAAAUCAGGAUCGUUUCAAGGCUGAUCUGCGUAGCAUGGCGAACACUUAAAUUGCAUCUCGUCCGUACAACAUCAUCAGGCUCACUUGCUAAGUUAUUCUGUUUUCUAGUGUAUCCCAGUGGCAAAACCAGCUUCAGGAUCCGUGUGGGUUUUAGAUGUGUACAAAUGCUGAAAUGCCCACUUGGAUCCGCAGCAUUUUAGUGGAAUUGUUUUUCUACUGACAGUUUGAAGUUCUGCUUCUUGAGAGGGAGAGUCUGCAAGAAUAAUCCUGCAAGCAACAGGGAAUACUCCCUCUGCUCUCAUCUCUGCUCUCAUGGUAAACUUUCUUGCUUCAGUGUGGUUAAUUUGUGAGAACACAGGGCUGAGUCAGUUCAGAAUCUAAUGAAAUGGCAUAUACAGUAUUUCCUUCAUGGAAGGCCUUCAGGGAAACCUGAAAUGUACAGACUAAAGUUUCCUGGCUGAUUUCUAAAUAACUUAUUUUUAAUAUUCAGAGGAACAUUUUCUCUUGGCGCUAUAGGAACAGCAUUUUCCAACACAUGCUGUUGUCCAUCUGCUCAGAGCCCUCAGAUGACACCGUUCUGGUAAAUUUGCUCUUCGUUCACAUUUAGAGCCAUCAAAUUUGCCUUCAAGUUGACCCAUGUUUCUUUCCAGGACAAAGAACAAAUUCUCACUUUUUCCAUGCUAACGACUGCAGCACUGUCAACAGUUUUUAUCUAACAUUUUCUUUAAAUAGAAAGAUACUGCUGGGAUUAACUGCAGGGAUUAACACCAGGUCACAGGGGCCUUGUGACCUGCUUUCUCCCAGCGGCUGAUGAUGAUCAGCACUCCCUGAAACAGCACUCCAGGCCCAUUAACAGCUCUCAUCAAGCAACAAUUAGCCUCCGAUUUUUUCUCCAGGACUGUGUUAGUUUCUGCAGUGACAGUCAGAACCAUCAGUGACCGCAGUGAGCCUCUUAGCACAGAGAGUUCUUCCUGUUCAUGCUAAUGCUCAGCUCUGCAGUGCCAUCUCCCAGUGCUGGCACAAGAAGCUACUUUAUGUUGCAUCCCUUUGCCUAGACAGGCAAAUUCCCUUAUGGAAGUAUAGUUACCUGUGCUCUGCUGGCAGCCCUUGGAGUUGUGACUGUGAUUAUGGUGGCCGCUGUAAAAUUGGUAGCUUGUUCCUGAUGGGAUCAUUUUUGUGAGGGAACCCCAGGCUGCACCUGGGCUGUGUCUCCCCCAGUAACACACUAGCUGUGCAGAGAUGUAUGAAACAGGGUAAUCACUCCUGAGUUAAUGAGCGUGUCCUGAGUUGGGGAACUGCAGUGGGCUGAAAUGCAGGCAUAGGGAUAGACUUGGCUUUACCUCAUGGUCUAUUUGCCUCAGGAAUGUAUCCCUAACAAAGGCCUUCUGCUUUGUCAGAGAAGGAGGUGGCAGAGUAGGGAAGACAAAUUAUGAGAGAGAAAUCAUGCCCUUGUUUGAUUCUGCUUCACCUAUUUUCGCUGAGUCCAUCUUUGUCCUUUGACUUAAAUAAUCCUCCACUUUGUUUGGUGCCCUCUUUAUAUCUUUGCACUGGCCCGUAUAUGCAUUUCGUGUACUGAAUUGCUCCAGAUGCAUUAAGGACUUGCCCUGUGUCUACUGCUGAUCCAACCACCAAGCAAAUAAAAUUAUUAAAGGUACAGCACUGAAUCCUGACAGUCCUCUAAAGGAUUUAACUGAAAUACAGAAGUGCUGCUUUCCUUUACUUGGAAAAUGUAAUGCCCUGAAAGCAAGCCUUUCAUAUCCAGUUCUUGCCCAACGCCCUUCCUGCAGUUACACUUGCAUUUCACUCGUCUGCCUUGGUGGAAUACUUCUAGUUUUGCUGUCUAAGAUCCUCUCUACUAGAUAAACCCACUGACCUAAUCUACUGUAUGCCAGUGAAUACUGGAGGAGCUGUGCCAAUGAAAAUGUGGCAGAAUUAAACCCCAUAUACAACGAAAUGCAUAUAGAAUACACUUGGACCACUUAUAGCCUAUUCCUGGAAUACUUUCUAUUGUCAUGGGAGCUCCUGUUUUAUCACCUGAUGAUAUCUCAUGUGCCGGGAAAGAGGAAAGUUGUUUAGGAAUCUGGGUAAUGAAAAACCUUAAAUUUGGGUCUGUCAGCUCUCCGUACUGACCUAAGGCCAGCUUUGCUGUCAUGCCAGCUGGAGAAUACACCCCAACAUCCCCUUCCAUCCUGGGUUAUAAACCAGUGUGGAGCAUGAGCCCUGUACAAUAUCUCUAAUUUACCAAGAGUGAAAAAAUAAAUGUUGUGGAAUCCAGUGGGCUUCCCAAAGUUGAAUUUCUCUGUGUUGCACUCUCCAGAGCUCUGUGUGAAACCUUCAUGGGCAGCUAGGGUUUUAUUUGAUUAUGCAUGACUGAAAUAAUGCCACUGGAUUUCCAUCAGAACACAUGACAUCCCAAAACUAACUAAGCAAGAACAAGAGCAAGAGAAGGGCACUGCUAUCAGCAGGCUGUGGGAUGGGAAUUUGCUCGACUUGUCAUUUUUUUCUUUUGCACUCUGUCCUCAAAAGGUCUCAAUUUUGCAGUUCAUUCAUUUUUUUCUCCUCCUGAAGUGAGACUGAAGAGAAUAUUUUGAGUUCUCUGACAGCAAGAAGGCAAACUCUUUAUCUCACAGAUGGACCAGUGAGAGAUUUAAAGUCUGUUUUCUUUUUUCCCUCUAGAGAUACCUGUGAAUUCUUAGUACUCAUGCAAAAGACAAGCUGUGUCUGUUUUCCUAGCUUGUGAAGGAUUUAGGAUCUGUCUUUAUGUAAAACUGCUGAACCUGGCUCCAGGUUCCAAGAUAUUUUCAGGAGAGAGGACUAUUAUGAACAGAUAACAAUUUCAGAAGAGCAGGGGAUUUGGGAUCUUGGUUCAGAUUCAUCUUUUGAUAUGGGGAUUAGAACCAUGAGGUGCGGAGCUGGAAGGAUUUCCCCAUUACAUCCAAACCUUGCAACACCAUCCUCCAUUACUUAUACUUUAAAUUUUCUCUGUGUAGCUGUUAAAGGAGAAGCUUUUCCCAGAACAUGAUGUUUGUCCUUCAAGGCUGAUAUUGUAGAGACGGUGCCGGUGCCUCUACAUUAUAAACAACCCGAACAACAAAAUGCAGAGAGUGCCUCAAGGAGUAUUUGGUGAGGCACUGGAGCAGCACCCAGAGAUGUGGUGGAUGCCCCAUCCUCGGGGAUAUUCAAGAUUAGGCUGGACCAUACACUGAGCAGCCUGAACUAGCUGUGGAUGUUCAUGUUCAUUGCAGGAGAGUUGGUCUGGAUGACCUCUAAGAGUCCCUGUCAUCUCAAAUGGUUCUGUGUUUUUUUUUUAUGAUACCAUUACAGCCAGAUGGCUGCCUUGCUGAGUACUGCCAGACCAGAUGCCAAUGCUCCCUGCUUGUGGGGAACACUGCCACAUAGGAGAGACUGCAGUCUUGGUGGGACUCUGCUGGUCUGUGUGUUAUAUGACAAAGUGGUGUCUGCUGGCAGGUUAGACCCCUCCGUUAGUAGAAGGAAGUGCGGGACCUCAUCACUUCCCACAGCCUGUGGAAUGCAGGCCACUUGGGCCUACUUUGGCCCCCUCCAACUCCACAGCUGUUUCUCUGCAGUAAAACUGAAUGCUGAUGCAAUGCUGAAAGCUGGAGACAUCAAAAUUCGAAGACUGAGCAAGAUCUGCAUUGAAUGCAGUACCUUGAUAUAUUGCAUCAUGGUAGUCAGAAUACGGUCAUAUCGUAAGGCUGUAUGCAGCAGGGGGCAGAGCUGAGCUGCAGUGGGGCUCCUUGCUUUUGGUUCUCAAUGACAACAUCCUUAAAUUAAAAGAGAGUGUUUAUAAAGAAUAUGGGAAAGCCUGCAGAGGUAACGAAGCAAGCAGAAACACUGGAAACCACAGAAGCUCCUCAGCUUCUUGGCUGAGAAGCCCAAGAAGCAGUGAUAGCCUCUUUGCUUUAUGAGGUUCCACCUCAUGUCCUGAGGCCCUGCUGCUCAAAACAGAUGUGCUGAUGGGCCUUUCUCUCAACAAGAGAUUCCCACUGGGGAGAAAGAGAGCUAUUAGCCUUCCCCUAUUUCUGCUGAACCACCCUUCAGUGUGGGGAGUAGGAUGGUCUGUAGCUGCUCUGGGUGUUUGGUUUGAUAAAAGUUUUGGUAAAACAGGUGCAAAAUGCGAAACAUUUGAGAGCUUGGAAAAGAGCUAUGGCCCAGAAAGCCUGAUGGUAACCAGUGAGCUUAAAAACAAAUGCUUCUUUUAUAUAUACAUAUAUAUAAGUCAAUCUUUAAUCUGUUUUUCUGUAACAAUAAAUGUCAGCUGUCUAACUCUGUCAGAUCUGACAACUUGACAUAAUAAAACUGUAUCUCCACAGACAA